rnacentral:rRNA from 1 species
UACGAAGGGGGGCUAGCGUUGUUCGGAAUCACUGGGCGUAAAGGGUGCGUAGGCGGGUCUUUAAGUCAGGGGUGAAAUCCUGGAGCUCAACUCCAGAACUGCCUUUGAUACUGAGGAUCUUGAGUUCGGGAGAGGUGAGUGGAACUGCGAGUGUAGAGGUGAAAUUCGUAGAUAUUCGCAAGAACACCAGUGGCGAAGGCGGCUCACUGGCCCGAUACUGACGCUGAGGCACGAAAGCGUGGGGAGCAAACAGG